rnacentral:rRNA from 1 species
UGGGGAAUAUUGGGCAAUGGGCGCAAGCCUGACCCAGCAACGCCGCGUGAAGGAAGAAGGCUUUCGGGUUGUAAACUUCUUUUGUCAGGGACGAGUAGAAGACGGUACCUGACGAAUAAGCCACGGCUAACUACGUGCCAGCAGCCGCGGUAAUACGUAGGUGGCAAGCGUUGUCCGGAUUUACUGGGUGUAAAGGGCGUGUAGCCGGGAGGGCAAGUCAGAUGUGAAAUCCAUGGGCUUAACCCAUGAACUGCUUUUGAAACUGUAUCCCUUGAGUAUCGGAGAGGCAGGCGGAAUUCCUAGUGUAGCGGUGAAAUGCGUAGAUAUUAGGAGGAACACC